AUCUAUCAAUGAACAAGCUUACUGGCUUGAUUCCUAAUGAAAUUAUGAAGCUAUCAUCAAUCUCAAUAGGUAUUGAUUUGUCCAACAACAUGCUGGAGGGAUCACUUCCAUUAGAAGUUGGUAAUUUGGUACAUCUUGAACAGCUCAUCCUGUCCAGGAACAAAUUGUCAGGUGAGAUACCUCAUACUAUUGGCAACUGCAGAGCCCUGCAAAUCCUCUUAAUGGAUGAUAAUUUGUUCCAAGGAAGCAUACCUGCCACUUUGAAGAAUAUGCAAAGCCUCACUCGCCUCAAUUUGACAGCCAAUAAACUGAAUGGCAGCAUUCCUGGCAGCUUAGGCAGCAUUACUAGCUUGCAGGAACUGUACCUUGCCCACAAUAAUUUAUCAGGACCAAUCCCAGA
rnacentral:lncRNA from 1 species